GACACGCUGGCGGCGUGCUUAACACAUGCAAGUGGAGCGACGAACCGGGGGCUUGCCCCGGGGCAGAGCCGCGAACGGGUGAGUAACACGUGGGUAACCCUGCCUCAAUGAUUGGGACAACCCGGGGAAACUCGGGCUAAUACCAAAUGUGUUCACUCCUUCUAAGGGGAGUGAGGAAAGGAAGCUUCGGCCUCCGCAUUGAGAUGGGCCCGCGGCCCAUUAGCUUGUUGGUGAGGUAACGGCUCACCAAGGCUUCGAUGGGUAGCUGGUCUGAGAGGACGAUCAGCCACACUGGGACUGAGACACGGCCCAGACUCCUACGGGAGGCAGCAGUGGGGAAUCUUGCACAAUGCGCGAAAGCGUGAUGCAGCAACGCCGCGUGGGGGAAGACGGCCUUCGGGUUGUAAACCCCUUUCAGUUGGGACGAAGCUUCGUCGGUGAAUAGCCGGUUGGAGUGACGGUACCUUCAGAAGAAGCCCCGGCUAACUACGUG
rnacentral:rRNA from 1 species